rnacentral:lncRNA from 1 species
GGGGGUGGUCCAGGGGGAUGGAACAACGGAGGAGGAGGAAACCCAAGUGGCGGUGGCGGGAUGCCGCCCAACGCGACCAGCACAACACCUGCAGUCACAACGCCCGGGGUAACAACAACGACGACAACCACGACUGCAUCCUCGCAAAAUGGGGGUGGAAUGGGCAUGGGCAUGGGAAUGGGGCCGGGCGGUGGCGGUGGCGGUGGCGGUUGGGGUCCUCCACCUCCUCGUCGCAGACUUUGGAGACGCUGAUAGACGGACAGCGGUACCUGGAGUUUUACUCCCGCUCUGCUUCGACCUGUGCUCAAUGGUUGUAUUGCAUAUGACGGACAAGGCUGACGGAUUUACAGUUGGAAUUUAUAAUACAUGUAGCUUUGUGUAGAUAAACUGUCGGUUAAACGAUUGAUUGGAAAAGAGUUAAAUAAAAACACGUUUAUCGAA